AACGAACGCUGGCGGCGUGGAUAAGACAUGCAAGUCGAACGGGGCAAUGCUUGUAGCAAUAUGAGUGUUGUUCAGUGGCGAACGGGUGCGUAACACGUGGAUACAUUCCGGAAAGCGGGGGAUAGCCCAGGGAAACUUGGAUUAAUACCGCAUGUGGUCGAAAGACUAAAGUCGGGGCAACCUGACGCUUCUUGUGGGGCCCGCGGCCUAUCAGCUAGUUGGUGAGGUAACGGCUCACCAAGGCUUUGACGGGUAGCUGGUCUGAGGGGACGACCAGCCACACUGGGACUGAGACACGGCCCAGACACCUACGGGUGGCAGCAGUCGAGAAUUUUUGACAAUGGGGGAAACCCUGAUCGAGCGACGCCGCGUGGAGGAUGAAGGUCUUCGGAUUGUAAACUCCUGUCAUUGGGGAACAAUGCGCAAAUAGUAACUGUAUUUGUGUUGAUAGUACCCGAAGAGGAAGAGACGGCUAACUCUGUGCCAGCAGCCGCCGUAAUAC
rnacentral:rRNA from 1 species